CACGUAGGGUGCGAGCGUUGUCCGGAAUUAUUGGGCGUAAAGAGCUCGUAGGCGGUCUGUUGCGUCCGCUGUGAAAACUCGGGGCUUAACCCCCGAGCCUGCAGUGGAUACGGGCAGACUAGAGGUAGGUAGGGGAGAAUGGAAUUCCCGGUGUAGCGGUGAAAUGCGCAGAUAUCGGGAGGAACACCGGUGGCGAAGGCGGUUCUCUGGGCCUUACCUGACGCUGAGGAGCGAAAGCGUG
rnacentral:rRNA from 1 species